rnacentral:lncRNA from 1 species
AGGAGGGCAUGAGGAUUCCACCUCAUCCCCGUCCCUUUCCCGAAUAAGAAAUCAAGUAUAAAAUUAUUUCCGUACCCUUCCCAAAUGAGGAAAAUCCCGGAGGGUAUUUAUCCCCGUAGGAAUUUUUGUCAUCCCUACAAUGUAAUGUAUGGUAGAGAAUUUCUUAUUUUAAUAAAAUAUAUGAUCUCUCACUUUAUUAGAAUGAGGACGUCAUUAAAAUAUAAAAAAAUAUAAAAAUUUUAAUAUACUAAAAACUAUAUUUUUUUAUCUGUUAGUAUUUCAAAGUCUAUGUUUUCUUUUUUCACUAGAGAAUGAUGAUAUGUGUGUGUGUGUGUAGAGUCAUUCUCUAGUACAGUCGCCCUCACUUUUUUCAUGUGGAUACACUAUUAAACAAUACAAUUUAAUAGAGUUAGCUUAGAUACACUAUUAAACAACACUAUUUUAGUGUGCAUUGAAAAAUAACUUCAUUAAACCACACGGUUUAAUAAUGUGUCCACAUUAAAAUAAUGAGGACGCCCGCACAUGAGAAUAGUUAUAAACAUGUACAUACAACUAUAUAAUUUAAUAGUUUUCUCAAGCUUUAAUAAAAUUCAGGAUUUUGGAUCAGAUUAGUGCUUAUACAUAUGAUGAUUUUACAAGUGUUUGUAAUUUUAAAACACCAAUUUAUUACUUUUUUUAUUAAUGUACUUGUUUUAUCUUUUAUUUACUAGUCUUAUGUGCAAUAUUAUAAAAUUUAUGUUUAUCACAGCAUCAAUUUUUCAAACAUCAAUUUAUUGCUCUUAUAUUAAUUUACUUGUUUUACCUUUUAUUUACUAAUUUUAUGUGUAAUACACGCACAAUAUAUUCACGUUUGCUUUUGGCAACCCCAAGUUUUUUAAAAUUUUUUAAAAAAUAAGUAAAAGUUAAAAGUUUUUAGGAAGAUCUCUACCUUUUUUUUUUUUUUUUCUAACGGCAACCACCAAUUUUCUUAAAAUACAAACCUAUAAUAUAUCUCGGCAACCCCCAAAUUAAAAUUUUGGUUCUAUAUAUAUAAUAUACACACAGACACACACACACACAUACAAUUUAAAAAAAAUACUAAGUUUAACUUAAAUUUGCUAUAUCAUGGCACAAUAAUAUUCAGGAGACAUGUUCGCUCUCUAUUCACAUUUCAUUGUGAUUUUUGUAACAAGAAAAUAUGAAAAACCAAAAACAGUGGAUGGGUAAAACGUGACCAUGAAUAAGACAAAUGAAUAACUGGAAUGUGUACAGGUCAAAAAGGAUGGAUGGAACGCAUGUCUACAUAACUAGGGACCAAUCACUGGGAGGUCACGGACUAAUCACCAAGUUGAGAGAAACAUACAUGAGACCAUCCCACCACCUCAGCAUAGACUGUCCAUAAGGUUUCAAGUCGACUAAUAAUAGGGCUAAACAAGAAGAUAUGGCCUAAUCACAAGUAACCUACCAUAUCUGCCAGGAAGCAUCUCAGCAAGUAAAUUAGAGGAAUCAAGAAGCAUGUGACCAAGUCUAGAGAAAGAGAUAGAGAUAACUAAAGUCCAGCAACUUAUGGUCAAUAUAAUGUAAGCCCCAACCUUGCAGGUAAAUGGUAGCAGGGGCUUGGGCAUAAUAAUGAAGCAGUGCAAAUCAUCAUUCCUGGGAUUACAUACACUACAUAUUUCGAAAAUACUAAAUCAUCAUUCCUGGGAUUACAUACACUACAUAUUUCGAAAAUACUGAAAGUUUUGGCUCUCUACAUUUUAAAAUAUGAAACACAUACAAAGGUGCUUACUAAGCUUGGUUUACAUCAUCUUAUUAGAAAAGAUUUAAUUUCUUCCAUCCCUCUGUAACCCAUUUACUUAAAGAAGAAUAUUGAAGUGGAAAUUGAUUCAGGAAGUCUUUGUUGAAGUGUGUUUAAUUAUUAUCUUUUUUAGACAGAUAAUUAUUUUAUUAUGUAAAAAUAACUUGAAUUUAAUUGGGUGAAUUCGAUUUACUUAAAGGUUUCAGUGUCAAAAUCCUAAUUUUGUCAGUUUUUUUUUUUUUGGUCAUCGUUAAUAAAAAUUUUGGAGUUGUUUCAGGGUGGAGUACGAAUUUUAAUUAAAUAUGUAAAUUAAUAAAUAAUAAAAAAUUUAUUAUAAUUUUAAUUAUGUAGUAGUGAAGAGGUAUUAUGUUUUAGAGCGAUUCUAACAUAUCUUAAUCCUAAAUUUACUAUUUAGAAGCAAUAAGCUAUUUUGAUACCUGCUCUAGCCCUUUUGCUGUUGUUUGUAUUGUGCAUGAUGAUGAUUGAUGAAUUCAUUUUGGAAUUUGGAGGCUGGAUUCCAGCUUCGUUCAUGAUCGGUAGGCUCGCGACACUUUUGUGCGAUGAAUUUUGGGGAAAAAAUAAAAUAACAAUGAUCUUUAUUUUUCAAAUGAAAAGCCUUGUUUGAAAGUGACUUGCAUGAAAGUCUUGGCCACAAAAUUGUGUGUGUGGUGCCCAGAGAUCAUUAUUUCGCUUUUCCCUCUCAUAUUUGUCAUUUUAGUAAUCUUUUAGUUUUAAGGACCGAGCAUCAAGACCCAACCACUUUAUGGGCCUCAAGGCCGAAGCUGGGAUUAUUAGGGUUUGGAUUUGAUAGAGCCUACCCAAUUAAGCUCAUCUCAGCCCAUAAUAGAGCCUCGGGUCCUUUUAAUGAAACUUACCUGCAUAAUGUAAUGUUCGUUUUUUGAGUUUCCGAACGAAUUCUGAUCCAAUAUCGGUCCAUCCUGUGCUGAUCUUGGAUCAAAACUAGAUCCAAGACACAUGAAUAAUAUUUGACGCCACUUCAUAUUGUUUAAUUUUGAAUUUUGAAACAUAUGUUGAUGGAUUUUCAAGAUCAAACGCACAUGUUUUGUGUAAGUAGUCUUAACAAUCAAGGUAUCUUUCAAAAAUUAAGCCUGCCACCAUUUUAUUUCCCAUACAAAGGCUAAAGCACAAGUUUGAUAAUAUUUUUGUUGUUUAUUUUCUUGAGAGAAAAAAGAGAGAGAGAGAAUUUACCGUAUAAGUAGAAUCAUCAUGACAUAUACUUUCAGAAGAACUAAAUAGUAAAAUAAUCACAAUUAGAGAUGGGCAAUGGGGUGUGCCGGUCGUUAGGAAGGCCCAUGCGUGCUCUUAUUUGUGUUGUGUUGUGCCCACCAUGUGAUUCGUACCGCAUCUAAUUUUUCUUUUUACUUAAGCCGGGGCCAACACACGUGCCACACCCACUUGUGCUGCCUCAUGCCUUGCCGAAGAAAAAAAAACACGAUAAUUUUUUUCUUUUUUUUAAGAGAACAUGCUAAGUUAUUGGCAUACCUUUUUUAAGCCUAUGUACUUUUGUAAGUCCAUAUGCCUUUAGUCAAAUUCAAUAAAAUCAAAAAUUUCAAACUCAAGUUCAUAUUCAAUAAUAAAUUAACAAUAGUAAGAGAAUAUAAUACUAAUUAUUAGGUUAGACCAUAUGGUAUUAUAAUCAUUUUUUAAUACUUAACAACAACAACAACAACAACAACAACAAUAAUAACAAUACUUUUUUUUAAGGGUUAACUUAAUUGUUAACUUUUAUUGUUUUUUAAGGGUUAACUUAAUUGUUAACUUGGACUUAUAUAGAGUUAUAGAUCAUAAUCCGUAAUAACAUUGAUACAUAUUUAUAAAAUCAUGAUAUCUAUUAUUCAUUUAAUAAAUUAUAAAUAUAAAUCAAUUAGAAUAACUUUUUUGAAACUAAAAAUUAAAUGAAUUGAAAAAACUUGUACUAAUAAAAUUUAUUAAAAGAUUUCAUUUCAAGUUAUUUGUAAAAUAAUAAUUUUUUAAAUUUACUUUCAUUAAAAAGUAAAACGUGUUUAUUGCGGGGUCUUUUUCACGUGCUAUGCUUUAACUCAUCUCUAAUCGCGGCGUGCUUUUAAAGCUCAUGUGCGUAAAAAUUCUAAGGCCAGCUCAUCCCGCAUACAUGCCGUGCCGUGUGCCCCACCAAAAUGUAUUCAUACCGUGCAGUGAUAUACGAACAUGUGCCAAGGGUCGUGUGCUCCACCAAAACGUACUCACACUGUGCAGUGCUAUACGGACACAUGCCACGUGCCGCCCAACCCAUUGGCCAUCUCUAAUCACAAUACUACAUGGUAGAUUUGAUCUAUUUUGCAUUUAAAUAUUCAAGUUGCAUGAUUACAAAACUAAUCUCGACAAGAUUCUGUAAUGAAUAUAAAAAAUUUUGUAUCAUAAUAUUUAGAAAAACAAAAAAUAAAAACACAAUUGUGUGCUAAAAGUUAAUUCAAUAUACAAACAACUUUUUAUUUAGUAAUGCCUUACCGAAAUUUUCAACUUGCCUAUUUUAUUCUCCCCAUAGAUAAUUAUUUACAAGCGUGACCAACAAAAAAUAAAUUUAAAGAAUAAUUCUACCCCCUCCAAGAAGUAACUCAAUAUUUUAUCUCAAGUACUAAAAUAGCAGUCAUCCAUUAGAUAUUUAAUUUCAUAAAGAGUUGAACUAUUAACACCUCUUUAAAAAUCUAUUAAAACCCUUGUUAUGUAUUUACAUUUUUACUCACAACUAAAAUUACCUAAAAAGACAUAUGUAUUCGAUAAAACGUAUUAAUUUGAUUUCAACAAAGACUCUUUACACUCAUUUUCAGUUAUAUGUUCAAAAUUUCAAUUAAAAUCUAUUCACCACGGGGAAAACAACACAACUUGAGACAUUUUUCAAAUCCUGCAAUAAAUUUAAUAAGGUGCUUAU